GAUGAACGCUAGCUACAGGCUUAACACAUGCAAGUCGAGGGGAAACGAUAGAGAAGCUUGCUUUUCUAGGCGUCGACCGGCGCACGGGUGAGUAACGCGUAUCCAACCUGCCCACCACUUGGGGAUAACCUUGCGAAAGUAAGACUAAUACCCAAUGACGUCUCUAGAAGGCAUCUGAAAGGGAUUAAAGAUUCAUCGGUGAUGGAUGGGGAUGCGUCUGAUUAGCUUGUUGGCGGGGUAACGGCCCACCAAGGCUACGAUCAGUAGGGGUUCUGAGAGGAAGGUCCCCCACAUUGGAACUGAGACACGGUCCAAACUCCUACGGGAGGCAGCAGUGAGGAAUAUUGGUCAAUGGGCGAGAGCCUGAACCAGCCAAGUAGCGUGCAGGACGACGGCCCUAUGGGUUGUAAACUGCUUUUAUAAGGGAAUAAAGUGAGUCUCGUGAGACUUUUUGCAUGUACCUUAUGAAUAAGGACCGGCUAAUUCCGUG
rnacentral:rRNA from 1 species